rnacentral:rRNA from 1 species
UACGUAGGGUGCAAGCGUUAAUAGGAAUUACUGGGCGUAAAGCGUGCGCAGGCGGCUAUGCAAGACAGAUGUGAAAUCCCCGGGCUUAACCUGGGAACUGCAUUUGUGACUGCAUGGCUAGAGUGCGGCAGAGGGGGAUGGAAUUCCGCGUGUAGCAGUGAAAUGUGUAGAUAUGCGGAGGAACACCGAUGGCGAAGGCAAUCCCCUGGGCCUGCACUGACGCUCAUGCACGAAAGCGUGGGGAGCAAACAGG